CCCCCGCCCACCACAGCCCUCGCGUCCGUUCAAGGUACACGUACAAGCUUGCACUACAAAAAUCACUAUAAACAUGGACAAGUCUUGGAUGUCAACACCUAGGGGUACGACACGGUAUAACGAUGGGUGUAGGGCGUUUGUGGCAUUUGCCGUUAGUAAUUGUACGGCCGGCGAUGGAAAAAUUUACUGCCCAUGCAAGUAUUGUCGAAAUA